rnacentral:ncRNA from 2 species
AAAUCGUGAUAUAUCUUUACUCAUAUAAUAGCGGGAAUAAGGCCCGCAAGUUUCUACCGACUGACCGUAAAUUUGUCGACUAUGAGGAGCAGGUUUUACUAG